rnacentral:lncRNA from 1 species
GGGACCUUUGAGCAAGCAGACUAGAUCUCCUGGGGACUCACACAAAGUGAAACAGAAGAGAGUCAUGGCUGUAUACAAAAAGACCAGGAAGAACAGGAAUGCUACACUGCAAAAGGACAUUGCAGCACAAGAGAAAAUGAAGAAAGACACAACAUUUUAUGGUUCUGGCAGAUACUGAAGCCAAAAGCCUGGGACACAGUGGUUCCUUUAUCCUGAUUUGUUUCAACUGUGUUCUCUCUUCUCUUCUCUUCUCUUCUCUUCUCUUCUCUUCUCUUCUCUUCUCUUCUCUUCUCUUCUCUUCUCUUCCCUCCCUCCCCAUCUUUCUCCCUCUCUCUCUCACCUUUUGUCUCUGAGGAAAGUAACCACCCCCUUUAUGGAGUUAGUCAUUAGUGAGAUUAUGUGGUAUUAAUGAGUUCUUUCAGUUUCUCCAUCUGUGAAUUUGCAUUGCACCUGUCCUUGCUGUACCUGCGUAUCUUAACUGCAGUACAUGGAGGGAAAUAUUCACAUGUGCUCAUUAUUCUAAGGAAACUUGGCAGACUUGACUCUAGUUGUAGCAGGGUCAGGAGAGCUAUGAUGCUGUGAGACCACUCAUUCAAAACUAAAAACAAGAUGCUGGUGAAUAUAAAGGGUGGAAGAAAGAAACUAUUAUUAUUCAACUUCAACUUAAGGUAAACUACUUUAUAUACUACUAGAAAAAAAGUUAAUUUUCAAAAAUUGCUUCUUUAGUUUUUAUAUAGAAACAAGUAGAUUCUUUUUACAGAGUAACACCAACCAUCUAUUGAUAUUCAAUCAACUGAAAUAAUUUUAUUUUAAAAUAUGUAAUAUAUAAAUAAACACUAACAUAACUUCUAUAUUUUCAUUCUCAGAUCAAAUUUUAUAUAUAUUGUACACUCUCUCUUCUGCUGGUUUUUGUUUUCCAUUUAAAAGCAUUUUCAGAAGGGGGAAAUUUAAAAUAUAAAUAAAUAAAAUAACCAAUAAAAAUAAAUAAAUAGAAUAGAGGCAUUUUCAGAUUGUUAGACAUUUUGUAAAUAGAUUUCCUGGUACCUGGAAUUUUAAGACAUCUGUUUCUUUAAAUUAAACUGAAAUUUCUAUGUUUCUAAAAUGAUGGUUGGUUGGUUGGCUCCAUGUCAUGUAUUCAGUUUUAGUGUCUUAUAAAAAGUUGAGAUAUUCUACCAAAAUCACGAAUCACUAUUUUCUUGGAUUUUUUUCUUAAGGAAAAUACACCUUUAUUUGUUUUGUUUUGUUUUGUUUUGUUUUGUUUUGUUUUGUUUUUCGAGACAGGGUUUCUCUGUAUAGUCCUGGCUGUCCUGGAACUCACUUUGUAGACCAGGCUGGCCUUGAACUCAGAAAUCCGCCUGCCUCUGCCUCCCAAGUGCUUGGAUUAAAGGUAUAUGCCACCAUGCCUGGCACAUCUUUAUAUUUUAGAACAUGGUGGAUUUCUCAUUUCAAACUGUUUGUUUUUGAGAACUUUCAAAGACAUCAGCAUGCUCUGAGAACAUUGAUCAACGUUCACUCAAGCAUACAUGAGGCUCUAGUUUCAAACACAGGGAAUCGAGGAAAUCAAGUAGAGGCUGGGAGUAAAGAGGCAAGAAGGGAAAGAAGGGAAGAAGAAAGGGAGCCCAGCAGGGAGAAGGCAGCAGACUGGCAUGCAGGUAGUGUGUAAGAAGUACGAUAAUUGUGAACAUCACUUUGACAUCAUCAGUAAUAUCUGGUCAACUUUCUAGGCUGCAGUUUUCAAAACUCUUUGAUGGACAUUAUUCUUACCAUGCCAGUCAAGAUUAGGUUGACAACAUUGCUUUCUGUGGCAAAUAUUAGGGACAACUAUCACCACAUCUAUUUCAAGGAAUAACUGAAAUGAUUGGUGUUCUGUUCCCAGCAGAGGGCCCAGCAGUUACUAUUUUCAGUGCCACCAUGUUACAUUGUCAGUUCCUCUACAGAUCCCCUCAAAUCUAGACUCUUAGAGAUAAAACAACCCCAAGAUGCUGUGACAAAUAAGAUUCAGUCAGCUCUUGGAAACAUGCACAGAUAGCUUGGGUUGUCUCAAGCACAUUAAUCAUAUGACACACUCUAGAUAAAAGGCAUUCAUAAUUUGAUAAUGUGGGCAUAUUAGACAUCAUGUUACAUACUUAAUUUAAAAAGUAUUCAUCAGUGUCUCAAACUCCCAAUAUCAGAGGAAAAAAUAAAUAAAUAAACAUGGUCAGUAUUGCC